GUAGUGGUAGUUGUGGUGGUAGUUGUAGUGGGGGUGGUGGUGGAAGUAGUUGUAGUGGUGGUGGUAGUGGUGGUGUUUGUAGUAGUGGUAGUAGUAGUGGUGGUAGUUGUAGUAGUGGUAGUUGUAGUAGUGGUGGUGGUGGUGGUGGUGGUGGUGGUAGUUGUAGUGGUGGUAGUGGUGGUGUUUGUAGUAGUGGUGGUAGUAGUGGUGGUGUUAGUAGUGGUAGUUGUAGUAGUGGUAGUAGUAGUAGUAGUAGCGGUGGUAGUAGUGGUAGUUGUAGUUGUAGUAGUGGUAGUUGUGGUAGUAGUAGUAGUGGUAGUUGUGGUAGUAGUAGUAGUGGUAGUUGUGGUAGUUGUAGUAGUGGUGGUGGUAGUUGUAGUAGUGGUGGUGGUAGUUGUAGUAGUAGAGUGGUAGUUGUAGUAGUAGUGGUGGUGGUAGUAGUGGAAGUAGUAGUAGUGGUAGUUGUAGUGGUGGUGUUAAAAGUUGUAGUAGUGGUGGUAGUGGUAGUAGUGGUAGUUGUAGUAGUGGUGGUGUUAAAAGUUGUAGUAGUGGUGGUAGUGGUAGUAGUGGUAGUUGUUGUAGUGGUGGUGGUGGUGGUGGUAGUUGUAGUAGUAGUGGUAGUUGUAGUGGUUGUGGUAGUAGUAGUGGUGGUGGUUGUGGUAGUUGUGGUAGCUGUAGUAGUAGUUGUAGUAGUGGUAGUUGUACUAGUGGUGGUGGUGGUAGUUGUAGUAGUAGUGGUGGUGGUAGUUGUAGUAGUAGUAGUAGUAGUAGUACCACUAGUAGUAGUAGUAGUAGCAGUACCAAUAGUAGUAGUAGUGUUGGUGGUAGUUGUAGUAGUAGUAGUAGUAGUAGUAGUAGUAGUAGCAGUACCAAUAGUAGUAGUAGUGGUGGUGGUAGUAGUUGUAGUAGUAGUAGUGGCGGUGGUGGUGUUAGUUGUAGUGGAGGUGGUGGUAGUUGUAGUGGUAGUAGUAGUAGCAGUACCAAUGGUAGUACCACUAGUAGUAGUAGUAGUAUCAGUACCAAUAGUAGUAGUAGUGGUGGUGGUGGUGGUAGUUGUAGUAGUAGUGGAGGUGGUGGUUGUAGUAGUAGUGGUGGUGGUAGUUGUAGUGGUGGUGGUUGUAGUGGUGGUGGUAGUUGUGGUGGUGGUGGUAGUUGUAGUAGUAGUGGUAGUUGUAGUAGUAGUGGAGGUGGUGGUUGUGGUGGAGGUGGUAGUUGUAGUAGUAGUGGUGGUGGUGGUAGUUGUAAUAGUAGUGGUGGUGGUAGUAGUAGUGGUGGUGGUGGUGGUAGUUGUAGUAGUAGUAGUAGUAGUAGUAGUACCACUAGUAGUAGUAGUAGUAGCAGUACCAAUAGUAGUAGUAGUGGUGGUGGUUGUAGUAGUAGUGGCGGUGUUGGUGGUGGUGUUAGUUGUAGUGGUGGUGGUGGUAGUAGUAGUAGUAGUAGUAGUAGUAGUAGUAGUAGUAGUAGUAGUAGUAGUAGUAGUAGUAGUAGUAGUAGUAGUGGUGGAGGUGGUGGUAGUUGUAGUGGUAGUAGUAGUAGCAGUACCAAUAGUAGUACCACUAGUAGUAGUAGUAGUAGUAGUAGUAGUAGUAGUAGCAGUACCAAUAGUAGUAGUAGUGGUGGUGGUGGUAGUUGUAGUGGUGGUGGUAGUUGUAGUAGUACCACUAGUAGUAGUAGUAGUAGCAGUACCAAUAGUAGUGGUGGUGGUAGUAGUAGCAGUACCAAUAGUAGUGGUGGUAGUAGUCGUAGUGGUGGUGGUAGUACCAGUAGUAGUAGUAGUGGUGUUGGUAAUAGUAGUAGUAGUAGUAGUAGUAGUGGUGUUGGUAGUAAUAGUUGCAGUAGUAGUGUCAUUGACCAUGUGAUGGUUUACUAAUAGUUUUUCCCAGUGUCCACAGAAGUGUGGAGGUUGGACAUCUGUUUCCUCUUCUUUCCUCACCCUCUUCCUGCUUUCCUCUCAUCUCUCCAUCGCGGGGCCAGAAUGAGCUAAUAAUGAGCCAUGAUGAGUGUUCCUCAACAGACCGAAGGGAACUUAACAAGAAGAGAGGAAGAAGUGCAGGUCUUCAGGUUGUAAUGUGAAUAGCAGGACAGACUGCUCAUUAAAGCAGCUCACUGCAUCGUCACAAACACACAGGGGCUUUUAUGAGAACAGAACAGAGGAAGGCCACCCUAGUCAUAGACUGUUCUCUCUGCUACCGCACGGAAAGCGGUACCGGAGUGCCAAGACUA
rnacentral:lncRNA from 1 species